GCUGGGUGUGGUGGCUCACGCCUGUAAUCCCAGCACCUUGGGAGGCUGAGGCGGGUGGAUCACCUGAGGUCGGGAGUUCGAGACCAGCCUGACCAACAUGGAGAAACCCCGUCUCUA
rnacentral:SRP_RNA from 2 species